UACGUAGGGUGCGAGCGUUGCCCGGAUUUAUUGGGCGUAAAGGGCGCGUAGGCGGCCACGCACGUCCGUUGUGAAAUCGCCCGGCUCAACUGGGCGGGGUCAGCGGAUACGGUGUGGCUCGAGCAAGCUAGGGGGCAAUGGAAUUCCCGGUGUGAGUGGUGGAAUGCGUAGAGUAUCGGGAGGAACACCAGUGGCGAAGGCGGUUGCCUGGAGCUUUGCUGACGCUGAGGCUGCGAAAGCGUGGGGAGCGAUCCGG
rnacentral:rRNA from 1 species